GUGCUUGCUUCAGCAGCACAUAUAUUAAAAUUGGAAGGACUCAGAGAAGAAUGGCAUAGCCCUGCACACAGAUGACAGAAAAUUCAUGAAGCCUUCCAUAUUAAA